UGCUAUACAUGCAGUCGUACGCUUCUUUUUCCACCGGAGCUUGCUCCACCGGAAAAAGAAGAGUGGCGAACGGGUGAGUAACACGUGGGUAACCUGCCCAUCAGAAGGGGAUAACACUUGGAAACAGGUGCUAAUACCGUAUAACAAUCGAAACCGCAUGGUUUUGAUUUGAAAGGCGCUUUCGGGUGUCGCUGAUGGAUGGACCCGCGGUGCAUUAGCUAGUUGGUGAGGUAACGGCUCACCAAGGCCACGAUGCAUAGCCGACCUGAGAGGGUGAUCGGCCACACUGGGACUGAGACACGGCCCAAACUCCUACGGGAGGCAGCAGUAGGGAAUCUUCGGCAAUGGACGAAACCCUGACCGAGCAACCCCGCGUGAAUGAAGAAGGUUUUCGGAUCGUAAAACUCUGUUGUUAGAGUCAAGAACAAGUGAUGAGAGUGGAAAUGUUCAUCACUGUGACGGUAGCUAACCAGAAAGCCACGGCUAACUACGUGCCAGCAGCCGCGGUAAUACGUAGGUCCCAAGCGUUGUCCGGAUUUAUUGGGCGUAAAGCGAGCGCAGGCGGUUUCAUAAGUCUGAAGUGAAAGCCCCCGGCUCAACCAGGGAGGGUCACUUUGGAAACUGGCAAACUUGAGUGCAGAAGAGGAGAGUGGAAUUCCAUGUGUAGCGGUGAAAUGCGUAGAUAUAUGGAGGAACACCAGUGGCGAAAGCGGCUCUCUGGUCUGUAACUGACGCUGAGGCUCGAAAGCGUGGGGAGCAAACAGGAUUAGAUACCCUGGUAGUCCACGCCGUAAACGAUGAGUGCUAAGUGUUGGAGCCUUUCCGCCAUUCAGUGCCGCAGCUAACGCAUUAAGCAGGUCUUGAGAUUCAGUUGGGCACUCUAGCGAGACUGCCGGUUAUGACCUGGGCUACACACGUGCU
rnacentral:rRNA from 1 species